UACAGAGGUCCCAAGCGUUGUUCGGAUUCAUUGGGCGUAAAGGGUGCGUAGGCGGCGCGGUAAGUCGGGUGUGAAAUCUCGGAGCUUAACUCCGAAACUGCAUUCGAUACUGCCGUGCUUGAGGACUGGAGAGGGGACUGGAAUUUACGGUGUAGCGGUGAAAUGCGUAGAUAUCGUAAGGAAGACCAGUGGCGAAGGCGGGUCUCUGGACAGUUCCUGACACUGAGGCACGAAGGCCAGGGGAGCAAACGGG
rnacentral:rRNA from 1 species